AUACGGAAGGUGCGAGCGUUAUCCGGAAUCACUGGGUUUAAAGGGUGCGUAGGCGGCAUGAUAAGUCAGAGGUGAAAGCCCUCAGCUUAACUGAGGAAUUGCCUUUGAUACUGUUGUGCUUGAAAGGGGAUGAGGUGAGCGGAAUGUGGCAUGUAACGGUGAAAUGUGUAGAUAUGCCAUAGAACACCGAUUGCGAAGGCAGCUCACUGAGCCUACUUUGACGCUGAGGCACGAAAGCGUGGGGAGCGAACAGGAUUAGAAACCCUAGUAGUCC
rnacentral:rRNA from 1 species